rnacentral:tRNA from 1 species
AACUUAAUAGUUUAUUUUGAAAACUUCAAGUUGCAAGCUUGACAAAAGGAGUUAAUUCCUUUAGGUUU